rnacentral:rRNA from 1 species
AUGCUAAUAGAGCUAUUUCAAGGUGUGGCAGUUGAUGGAUCAUCAGCUUAUGUGCCCUUAGAUGAAGAUGAAGAAGAAGAAUAUGAUGUUGCCGAUGAUGGAAAUGAGCAGAGUCCAAUGAGCACCACCAGCAGGAAGAGGGGAAGGACCGGCGGUGAACAGUCAGCUUCAAGCCCAGGAAAGAAACACAAGAGCCCAAUGGUGAAACUAAUGACAGGGCUCAUCAAUACUAUGAAUAGUGAAAACGCUUCCGACAUGAUCACUGAAUAUGCAAACAAAAGGCAGGAAGCAAAGGACAAGGCAAAAGAGAAGAAAUCAAACAACAAUAAGGAAUCCAUUACUCAUUGUCAACUGUUGGCAGUUCAAUGUGGUGCAGAAGAAACAAGUGUUGAGUACUUCAUGGCAACUCAACUGUUUGCAGAUGAGGCAAACAGAGUCAUAUUUGAGAACAUUUCAAGUAAUGAGGCUAGACUGACUUGGUUGAAGAGGUGGUGCAUGAUGAAGAAGUUGUACUAG